GACGUAGGGCGCGAGCGUUGUCCGGAUUUAUUGGGCGUAAAGAGCUCGUAGGCGGCUUGUUGCGUCGACUGUGAAAACCCGCGGCUUAACUGCGGGCUUGCAGUUGAUACGGGCAGGCUAGAGUUCGGUAGGGGAGACUGGAAUUCCUGGUGUAGCGGUGGAAUGCGCAGAUAUCAGGAGGAACACCGGUGGCGAAGGCGGGUCUCUGGGCAGUAACUGACGCUGAGGAGCGAAAGCGUGGGGAGCGAACAGG
rnacentral:rRNA from 1 species